UCUUAUGGAUGAACAAAUAAAGUGGCUUCUUGAGAUGGAAUCUACUCUUGGUGAAGAGGCUGUAAA
rnacentral:pre_miRNA from 5 species